GCGCUUUUAGCUCAGAUGGAUAGAGCAUCGGCUUCCUAAGCUGAGGGUCACAGGUUCGAAUCCUGUAAGGCGCACCA
rnacentral:tRNA from 1 species